rnacentral:rRNA from 1 species
UACGUAGGGUGCGAGCGUUAAUCGGAAUACUGGGCGUAAAGCGUGCGCAGGCGGUGAUGUAAGACAGAUGUGAAAUCCCCGGGCUCAACCUGGGAACUGCAUUUGUGACUGCAUCGCUGGAGUGCGGCAGAGGGGGGGAUGGAAUUCCGCGUGUAGCAGUGAAAUGCGUAGAUAUGCGGAGGAACACCGAUGGCGAAGGCAAUCCCCUGGGCCUGCACUGACGCUCAUGCACGAAGCGUGGGGAG